UUGUCAAAGUCCUUUUGUCCGUCGCUAGCAACCGGACGUGUGUAAACAUCCGAAAAAUGUUGUUGUUCCAGAAAUUUAGUGUCGUCGUUCGAUCGCUGAGGAGUCGCAACGACUUUUUCAUCGAACAUCGGCAAUCUCGGAUCCGAGUAUCGGGACUGGAAGAACGGCGUCAAAAGGAACGAUUUUUCGGUCGGGAGGAACGACGUUUGCUUCGAUCGAGAAAACUCAUUGCUUUGUUUACAAACAAAUGUUGAGCUCGAUCGAGCCGUUGAUACGAGUGAAAUUGGCGGGAACGAGCUCCAAAUAUUUCCUCGUAUUUAUACGGUCGCCUUUACGAGGCCGUUAUUCGUUUCGUUCAAAAUACCCUUUUUCCUUCGGACACGUUUAGUAAACAAAAUAAAAAUACGAAGAAACAGAUUGACGCGCGAUCCGAGGGGACGAGAACGACACCGGACAAACAGUGCAUCGUUCGCGUCGUCGGACAUUUCCAAAACAAAGGGAAAGAAUAAGCCUGGAGAAGCGAGUUGUCGGAGAGUGAGACUACUUCGUACGUAUUUUAUUUCAGACAUGAAAAUCUCGUGAGAUUUGCGAUCUGUCGUCGAGAAGAUAAGGAAAAACUGGUAACUUUGUCCCGAGUACUCAAGGGGAAGUUAAGCUGGCUACAUUUCGUCGAGCUAACUCUCUAGUGAUAUACAAAUAAAAUAAAAACGAUUUAGCCGGGCAAAAAAAGGAUGAUGACGACAAAAAAAAUUUAUGCCAAGAUGAGCGAAGCAAAGGUGACGUAAAAAUGGAACGGAUAAUCUCGCGAGGAUUCAAUACUUUUCGAGUGCCUCCGCGUCCAUAAUUUCGAGUACAGCGACCGGCUCAGAAACUUUAGUGUCUCGAUAUGCUGACCAAAGGAAUAAAAACGAUUAUUGAGUGGACGAGGAAGAAAAAUUGUGCAAACUCUUCCUCGAACGGGCAAUUUUCCUGUUUAUAGAGAUUUGAUUACCGGCGUGUUUAUUUACGUGACCGCCCCCUCGUCGUGCCUUCUCAUCGCGUAGUCACCGGUUAUAAAUGUCUGGUUAAGCAAUCUCGGCUCUCUAAGGUAGUUCGCGACUAAGUGGACACAAAAAUCUUUCAACGAUGACUCAUUGAUUGUCGUCGAUCGGGCUUCGUUCCCGAAUUUCCUAAUUUUUUCACCAAUUCAGUAAUCCGAUCACCGACAACUUCCCAUGCAAAAAA